ACCUGGGUCGACACUGACGCUCAUGUACGAAAGCGUGGGUAGCAAACAGGAUUAGAUACCCUGGUAGUCCACGCCGUAAACGAUGUCUACUAGCAGUUUGGAGCUUAAGCUCUGUCUUGCGCAGCUAACGCAUUAAGUAGACCGCCUGGGGAGUACGGCCGCAAGGUUAAAACUCAAAUGAAUUGACGGGGGCCCGCACAAGCGGUGGAGCAUGUGGUUUAAUUCGAUGCAACGCGAAGAACCUUACCAUCUCUUGACAUCCAGAGAAUUUAGCAGAGACGCUUUAGUGCCUUCGGGAACUCUGAGACAGGUGCUGCAUGGCUGUCGUCAGCUCGUGUUGUGAAAUGUUGGGUUAAGUCCCGCAACGAGCGCAACCCUUAUCCUUAGUUGCCAGCACGUAAUGGUGGGAACUCUAAGGAGACUGCCGGUGACAAACCGGAGGAAGGUGGGGACGACGUCAAGUCAUCAUGGCCCUUACGAGAUGGGCUACACACGUGCUACAAUGGCAAGUACAAAGGGUUGCAAACUCGCGAGAGUAAGCGGAUCCCAUAAAGCUUGUCGUAGUCCGGAUUGGAGUCUGCAACUCGACUCCAUGAAGUCGGAAUCGCUAGUAAUCGUGGAUCAGAAUGCCACGGUGAAUACGUUCCCGGGCCUUGUACACACCGCCCGUCACACCAUGGGAGUGGGCUGCAAAAGAAGUGGAUAGCUUAACCUUCGGGAGGGCGUUCACCACUUUGUGGUUCAUGACUGGGGGAAGUCGUAACAAGGUAGCCGUAGGGGAACCUGCGGCUGGAUCACCUCCUUAUAUACGAAGUUAC
rnacentral:rRNA from 1 species